GAAUUUCAAAGACAACAUCAGAUGGGAGAUGACUUCAUCUACAGACUGAAAGUGAAGAAUUCCAGACUGAAAGUAAAGAAUACCAAUGUGAUCGUGUCUGUGGCAUUGUCUUUCAACUGUGAAAAACAUACAAAGACACGUUUACAUGAUGGUAUUUCACAAUCCUCUAUUUUGAAAAUGAUGAAUAGGAC